rnacentral:rRNA from 1 species
UUAAGCGACUAAGCGUACACGGUGGAUGCCCUGGCAGUCAGAGGCGAUGAAGGACGUGCUAAUCUGCGAUAAGCGUCGGUGAGGUGAUAUGAACCGUUAUAACCGGCGAUUUCCGAAUGGGGAAACCCAGUGUGUUUCGACACACUAUCAUUAACUGAAUCCAUAGGUUAAUGAGGCGAACCGGGGGAACUGAAACAUCUAAGUACCCCGAGGAAAAGAAAUCAACCGAGAUUCCCCCAGUAGCGGCGAGCGAACGGGGAGGAGCCCAGAGCCUGAAUCAGUGUGUGUGUUAGUGGAAGCGUCUGGAAAGGCGCGCGAUACAGGGUGACAGCCCCGUACACAAAAAUGCACAUACUGUGAGCUCGAUGAGUAGGGCGGGACACGUGGUAUCCUGUCUGAAUAUGGGGGGACCAUCCUCCAAGGCUAAAUACUCCUGACUGACCGAUAGUGAACCAGUACCGUGAGGGAAAGGCGAAAAGAACCCCGGCGAGGGGAGUGAAAAAGAACCUGAAACCGUGUACGUACAAGCAGUGGGAGCCUCUUAAUGGGGUGACUGCGUACCUUUUGUAUAAUGGGUCAGCGACUUAUAUUCUGUAGCAAGGUUAACCGAAUAGGGGAGCCGAAGGGAAACCGAGUCUUAACUGGGCGUUAAGUUGCAGGGUAUAGACCCGAAACCCGGUGAUCUAGCCAUGGGCAGGUUGAAGGUUGGGUAACACUAACUGGAGGACCGAACCGACUAAUGUUGAAAAAUUAGCGGAUGACUUGUGGCUGGGGGGGAAAGGCCAAUCAAACCGGGAGAUAGCUGGUUCUCCCCGAAAGCUAUUUAGGUAGCGCCUCGUGAAUUCAUCUCCGGGGGUAGAGCACUGUUUCGGCAAGGGGGUCAUCCCGACUUACCAACCCGAUGCAAACUGCGAAUACCGGAGAAUGUUAUCACGGGAGACACACGGCGGGUGCUAACGUCCGUCGUGAAGAGGGAAACAACCCAGACCGCCAGCUAAGGUCCCAAAGUCAUGGUUAAGUGGGAAACGAUGUGGGAAGGCCCAGACAGCCAGGAUGUUGGCUUAGAAGCAGCCAUCAUUUAAAGAAAGCGUAAUAGCUCACUGGUCGAGUCGGCCUGCGCGGAAGAUGUAACGGGGCUAAACCAUGCACCGAAGCUGCGGCAGCGACACUAUGUGUUGUUGGGUAGGGGAGCGUUCUGUAAGCCUGUGAAGGUGGCCUGUGAGGGUUGCUGGAGGUAUCAGAAGUGCGAAUGCUGACAUAAGUAACGAUAAAGCGGGUGAAAAGCCCGCUCGCCGGAAGACCAAGGGUUCCUGUCCAACGUUAAUCGGGGCAGGGUGAGUCGACCCCUAAGGCGAGGCCGAAAGGCGUAGUCGAUGGGAAACAGGUUAAUAUUCCUGUACUUGGUGUUACUGCGAAGGGGGGACGGAGAAGGCUAUGUUGGCCGGGCGACGGUUGUCCCGGUUUAAGCGUGUAGGCUGGUUUUCCAGGCAAAUCCGGAAAAUCAAGGCUGAGGCGUGAUGACGAGGCACUACGGUGCUGAAGCGACAAAUGCCCUGCUUCCAGGAAAAGCCUCUAAGCAUCAGGUAACAUCAAAUCGUACCCCAAACCGACACAGGUGGUCAGGUAGAGAAUACCAAGGCGCUUGAGAGAACUCGGGUGAAGGAACUAGGCAAAAUGGUGCCGUAACUUCGGGAGAAGGCACGCUGAUAUGUAGGUGAAGCGACUUGCUCGUGGAGCUGAAAUCAGUCGAAGAUACCAGCUGGCUGCAACUGUUUAUUAAAAACACAGCACUGUGCAAACACGAAAGUGGACGUAUACGGUGUGACGCCUGCCCGGUGCCGGAAGGUUAAUUGAUGGGGUUAGCGGUAACGCGAAGCUCUUGAUCGAAGCCCCGGUAAACGGCGGCCGUAACUAUAACGGUCCUAAGGUAGCGAAAUUCCUUGUCGGGUAAGUUCCGACCUGCACGAAUGGCGUAAUGAUGGCCAGGCUGUCUCCACCCGAGACUCAGUGAAAUUGAACUCGCUGUGAAGAUGCAGUGUACCCGCGGCAAGACGGAAAGACCCCGUGAACCUUUACUAUAGCUUGACACUGAACAUUAAGCCUUGAUGUGUAGGAUAGGUGGGAGGCUUUGAAGUGUGGACGCCAGUCUGCAUGGAGCCGACCUUGAAAUACCACCCUUUAAUGUUUGAUGUUCUAACGUGGGCCCCUUACCGGGGUUGCGGACAGUGUCUGGUGGGUAGUUUGACUGGGGCGGUCUCCUCCUAAAGAGUAACGGAGGAGCACGAAGGUUGGCUAAUCCUGGUCGGACAUCAGGAGGUUAGUGCAAUGGCAUAAGCCAGCUUGACUGCGAGCGUGACGGCGCGAGCAGGUGCGAAAGCAGGUCAUAGUGAUCCGGUGGUUCUGAAUGGAAGGGCCAUCGCUCAACGGAUAAAAGGUACUCCGGGGAUAACAGGCUGAUACCGCCCAAGAGUUCAUAUCGACGGCGGUGUUUGGCACCUCGAUGUCGGCUCAUCACAUCCUGGGGCUGAAGUAGGUCCCAAGGGUAUGGCUGUUCGCCAUUUAAAGUGGUACGCGAGCUGGGUUUAGAACGUCGUGAGACAGUUCGGUCCCUAUCUGCCGUGGGCGCUGGAGAACUGAGGGGGGCUGCUCCUAGUACGAGAGGACCGGAGUGGACGCAUCACUGGUGUUCGGGUUGUCAUGCCAAUGGCACUGCCCGGUAGCUAAAUGCGGAAGAGAUAAGUGCUGAAAGCAUCUAAGCACGAAACUUGCCCCGAGAUGAGUUCUCCCUGACUCCUUGAGAGUCCUGAAGGAACGUUGAAGACGACGACGUUGAUAGGCCGGGUGUGUAAGCGCAGCGAUGCGUUGAGCUAACCGGUACUAAUGAACCGUGAGGCUUAACCUU